AGAGUUUGAUUAUGGCUCAGGAUGAACGCUGGCGGCGUGCUUAACACAUGCAAGUCGAACGGGAAUGCCACGCUGAUGCGAUUUCGGUCAAAUCAUGUGGCAUUCGAGUGGCGGACGGGUGAGUAACGCGUGGGUAACCUGCCUUACACAGGGGGAUAACACCUGGAAACAGGUGCUAAUACCGCAUAAGCGCACAGGGCCGCAUGGCCCGGUGUGAAAAACUCCGGUGGUGUAAGAUGGACCCGCGUCUGAUUAGCUUGUUGGCGGGGUAGGGGCCCACCAAGGCGACGAUCAGUAGCCGGCCUGAGAGGGUGGACGGCCACAUUGGGACUGAGACACGGCCCAAACUCCUACGGGAGGCAGCAGUGGGGGAUAUUGGACAAUGGGGGAAACCCUGAUCCAGCGACGCCGCGUGAGUGAAGAAGUAUUUCGGUAUGUAAAGCUCUGUCAGCAGGGAAGAAAGAAAUGACGGUACCUGACCAAGAAGCCCCGGCUAACUACGUGCCANCAGCCGCGGUAAUACGUAGGGGGCAAGCGUUAUCCGGAAUUACUGGGUGUAAAGGGAGCGUAA
rnacentral:rRNA from 1 species